rnacentral:rRNA from 1 species
UACGUAGGGGGCAAGCGUUAUCCGGAUUUACUGGGUGUAAAGGGCGCGUAGACGGUGAUGUAAGUCAGAUGUGAAAGCCCGGGGCUCAACCCCGGGACUGCAUUUGAAACUAUGUUGCUAGAGUGCAGGAGAGGUAAGUGGAAUUCCUAGUGUAGCGGUGAAAUGCGUAGAUAUUAGGAGGAACACCAGUGGCGAAGGCGGCUUACUGGACUGUAACUGACGUUGAGGCUCGAAAGCGUGGGGAGCAAACAGG